CAGAACAUAAUGAUUUGAAUUAGUUUUGUUGUCUGUCAUUACAUUGUUGCCCUUAAUAAUGUGUUAUAAUAACACCAAUCCACUACAACACCUCAACUAAGUGAGGCUAACUACAUCAACUCUCGAGUGAGUGCUUUAAGAAGUUACAAUUACAAAACUUAACAAAGCUUGAAUUAAAACAAACUUAACAAAGCUUGAAUUAAAACUAUAUUGAUGCAGUGAUGCUCCAACUAAUCUCGAUCAUCGUCAUCAAAUUCUUCAUCUUCUAGUACUUCCUGAAGAUAGAGAACACCGUUACAAUUGCAUUAAAUACAAAAGUCGAUUAAACAUUCAACUAUAAAACCUAGAUCAACUAUUUAAACAAAAAAUCUAUCAUGCAAGACAGUUGGUGGUGCCUAAAAUACCAACUUAAAAUUAUAACACAGCAAUGUGACACUUGGACAGACUGAGUAAAAUGGGAAUUGUCCAAAGUUCAAUGUGUAUAUAGUGCCAAUGUACUCAGGAAACACCUUUGCACCUGUUCUUACACUGCCCUUUUGUGUGUGAGGUGUGGUAGGAGAUCUUAUGGAGCUAGUACUAAUGAAUUGGACAAAGAACUGUGUAGUUUGGUGCCUUGUUAUUGGCUUAGUUGCGAUUUGGCAGUCAAGAAAACCUUAAUAUCUAUGGUAUUUAUUGAUACAACGUAAACCUAAAAAAAAAAAAAAAAAAAAAAAGGACUUGCCGUGCAGUUUGUAGCGUGUUUGUCCUCUACUUUUGUGUAAUUCGUUGAGCUUAUCAAUAAAAUUUAAAUAUUAAAAAAAAAAAAAAAAAAAAACUUUAACAAGGAAUCAAAUCAGAUGACUGAGAUUAUUAAAAAAAAAUAAAAUUAGGAGACUGAAAUUGAUAGUCAAGUACCACCAGCAUGUAGUAACAAGUCAUGAGCAAACUAUAAAUUCAAAUUACAUGUAUUAAUCAAAUAAAUAUAUGCCAAAUUGCCAAUCCAGAAAUUGACUACAGAUAACAAACUAUACAUUCAUCAAGGAAUUUGAUUGAUAGGUAUUGGUGACGAAUAAGAAUAGGUAGAAGAAGGGGGAUGAAUUGAACUAUAUAAACAGAAUUGUACUGUGCAAGGGAAACCUGAACCUGACCUGAUUUCACAUCAGGUCAAUCGGGUCAACCUGAUCUAGACCCAAAACCUCAAAUACCUUGAACCAAAGCAGGUCGGGUUCAGGUCGCCAGGUCUGAUUGCCACCCUAUUGCCCUAACAUUCACCUUCUUCCACUGUCCCUGUGUCACCAGCUCGCAAGCCUGCUCUCACAAAUUUUUUGGCUUCUGUUCUGGUAAGGAAAUAAAUUCUGGUUGGUUUGUAUACACAUUUAUUUAGAUCAUCUCUUUAUCAGGACUCAAUAGAGAUCCGUUUAGAAGUUUGUAUUGCUGCAAGCUUUGUUCACUUGAAGUGAAUCGCUUCCAUAAAUUUUUGGAUGCACAUAAAGCACAUUACAUUUGCU
rnacentral:lncRNA from 1 species